rnacentral:rRNA from 1 species
AUGUGGUAUGCUCCUAUAAUACCACGGUUGAAACGUCUGUUCAGAAACGAAGAGCAUGCCAAGUUGAUGCGAUGGCACAGUGAGAACCGAAAGAAAUAUGGGAAGUUGAGAGCACCCGCUGACGGGUCGCAGUGGAGAAAAAUCGAGAGAAAGUACUGGGAUGAGUUUGCAAAGGACCCAAGGAAUGUAUGGUUUGCUUUAAGCGCAGAUGGCAUUAAUCCUUUCGGGGAUCAGAGCAGCAAUCACACCACCUGGCCCGUGACUCUAUGUAUGUAUAACCUUCCUCCUUGGAUGUGCAUGAAGCGGAAGUUCAUUAUGAUGCCAGUUCUCAUCCAAGGCCCUAAGCAACCCGGCAACGAAAUUGAUGUGUACCUAAGGCCAUUAGUUGAAGAACUUUUACAUCUGUGGAAUGGAAACGGUGUACGUACGUGGGAUGAGCACAGACAGGAGGAAUUUAACCUUAAGGCGUUGCUGUUCGUGACCAUCAACGAUUGGCCCGCUCUCAGUAGCCUUUCAGGACAGACAAACAAAGGAUACCACGCAUGCGCGCACUGUUUAGAUGACAUGGCCCACUCUCAGUAA